rnacentral:rRNA from 1 species
CCCUUAGAUGUUCUGGGCCGCACGCGCGCUACACUGACGAUGGCAACGAGUUUUUCCUUCGACGAAAGGUGUGGGUAAUCUUUUGAAACAUCGUCGUGCUGGGGAUAGAUCAUUGCAAUUUUUGAUCUUGAACGAGGAAUUCCUAGUAAGCGCGAGUCAUCAGCUCGCGUUGAUUACGUCCCUGCCCUUUGUACACACCGCCCGUCGCUACUACCGAUUGAAUGGUUUAGUGAGGACUCCUGAUUGGCGCCGCCGCCCCGGCAACGGAGCAGCGGACUGCCGAAAAGUUGUUCAAACUUGAUCAUUUAGAGGAAGUAAAAGUCGUAACA